rnacentral:lncRNA from 1 species
AUGUGGAUGAAAAAGAAACACGUGGCAGUUACACAAAGUGCUGUCACUAUAGCCUUACUUCCGUUAUUGCAAGUCGAGAAACCAAACCUUGAAGAGCUGUGUCUAGGGUCACACAGCCAGGAAUUUGUCGGCUUGAGGGCAGGGCUAGGCAUUGAGGGACAGUGGGACUUGGAUGAGCAGACGCAGUGGGGAGAGAGCUCCCGGGCUAGACAAGGAGAAGAUGGUACAGAAUUGCCUGCAGGGGACCGUGGAUAUUCUAAGUGUGGAUGCGAUCUCCUGGGAAAAGAGGUGGGGAAUGCCCCUCCCCCGCCGUGCACAAACGCCUCUGUCCUAUCUGUGUGCACAGGAAGAAUCAAAAUGAAUAUGCGAGAGUACAUUUUACUCUAA